UACAAAAUCCCGCCGGAGGAAAUGUCUGGUAUCUAUGAGAUACCGUGUAAAUCUUGCCCGGCGGUGUACAUUGGUCAAACCCGGCGAAAAUUUAAAGUACGUUUGAGGGAACACAGGAACGCCAUGGAAAACAACAGACCCAACGAAUCAAGUGUUGCAGUUCACUCUACGGGACAAAACCAUCAAAUCGAUUGGGACAACGCGAAACUCAGAAAGUGUGUCAGGAAGGCUUCCCAUUUAAAUGCAUGGGAAUCCAUGUUUAUUCACACUGCUGAGCCGCCGCUGAUGAAUGAAUUUGAAGCUCCAACUAUAUCGCCUUUGUUCAACUUGACGAAGAAUAACAUCUACUGAUUCUAUUUCUCUCCGACGUGUACGACAACAGUACGAAGCUGUUUUUUGUUUUGUGUAAUCAGUUGGACAUCGUCCCGUAGAUGGGCAGUAUCGAGCCCGAAACCGGUCGACUAAAAAAGAAACUGCAGUAGAAUUGAUGAAAACGACACUCGACUAUUGCAAUUGAAAAUCACAUGGUUUGUUUACAUUUCCCUCAUACAACCAUGAAAUCCGUUAGACUGCGACACCAUACCUUGUAUGUCCCGAAUUAAACGUGUCGCAUUACAGGUAUGUUUUUCAACUAGAAAAUGUUUAUUCCUAUCGUUUCAAGAUGUUUUCCCCGCGUUUCAUAUAUGGACUGAUGAAUUAUUAACAAAAAAGUGUCACAAGUGCCAAUCAGUCACAACCGAAUGCUCCGGAUCGGGUGCUUAUGGAAGCCGAAGAAUCGCUCAAAAAGAUGAGGAGAAAAUGAGCAAAAGACGCGUGUUAUGGACAAGGCUUCGAUGACCCACACACGACGGGUGGAACAGUUCGACCAACGUCUGGACAGCCUAACGGAACACUUCGACAUAUCCGAGAGUAUUCUGGACAAAAUAAACUCCCAUCCAACAAAUGCUUCAUAUCGAUUGUAAUCCCGAUAAGGGAUUUUUAUUUAAAAUUUGGCAGCAUUAACUUGUCAAUUAAUUUUAACAUUGAUAGAACUACCAUAUUAUAAUAAUUGGAAAAAAUCUUCAUUCUCACCAGAUUGAAUUUUAUAUGAAAAUUGU